AGGGAAGGCUGGCGGCAGGCCUAACACAUGCAAGUCGAGCGGAUGAAGGGAGCUUGCUCCUGGAUUCAGCGGCGGACGGGUGAGUAAUGCCUAGGAAUCUGCCUGGUAGUGGGGGAUAACGUCCGGAAACGGGCGCUAAUACCGCAUACGUCCUGAGGGAGAAAGUGGGGGAUCUUCGGGCCUCACGCUAUCAGAUGAGCCUAGGUCGGAUUAGCUAGUUGGUGGGGUAAAGGCCUACCAAGGCGACGAUCCGUAACUGGUCUGAGAGGAUGAUCAGUCACACUGGAACUGAGACACGGUCCAGACUCCUACGGGAGGCAGCAGUGGGGAAUAUUGGACAAUGGGCGAAAGCCUGAUCCAGCCAUGCCGCGUGUGUGAAGAAGGUCUUCGGAUUGUAAAGCACUUUAAGUUGGGAGGAAGGGCAGUAAGUUAAUACCUUGCUGUUUUGACGUUACCAACAGAAUAAGCACCGGCUAACUUCGUG
rnacentral:rRNA from 1 species